AUCUUUCACAUUGAGGAAAUACUUAUCUGAAAUUCAGUGAUUCCAUCAAGUUUACUUCCAUUUCCUACUUUCCCCUCCCUGUUGAAUCCAGGCUGAGCUAAAUUUGUUAUACUUGUAAGAACAUUUACCAUAAGACUCUUUUUCAUAAAACUUUUAAAGUCUGUUCUUCCAACUCAUGCUUAGGAUGAUACUCACCGAUGUUAAGGAUGGACACUUCUAAUUGAUGUGAUGAUUAUUUUGACUUUUCUUUUUUUGGACUUUAAUGUAUUUCUUGACUUUGUCAACACACAGUAGUUCCCCACCCCCUUAUUCAUGUAUCUGGGAGAUACAUUCCCAGACGCCCCAGUGGAUGCUGGAAACCAAAGAUAAUACCAAACCUUGUAUAUUCUGUUAUUUUCCUGUAUAUACACAUCUGUGAUACAGUUCAGUUUGUAAACUAGGCAUGGUAAGAGAUAAAUAAUAAUAAAGUCGAACAAUUAUUACAAUAUAUUUUAAAAAGUUAUGUGAGGGACGCCUGGGUGGCUCAGUCGGUUAAGUAUCCGACUUCAGCCCAGGUCAUGAUCUCGCGGUUUGUGAGUUCUAGCCUCACGUUGGGCUCUGUGCUGACAGCUCAGAGCCUGGAGCCUACUUCAGAUUCUGUGUCUCCCUCUCUCUCUGCCCCUGCCCCACUCACACUCUGUCUCUCUCUCUCUCUCUCUCUCUCAAAAAUAAAAAUACACAUUAAAAAAUACUUUUAAAAAAGCAUGUGAGUGUGGCCUGUCAAAACAUAUUUUCCUGUACCCUUUUUUGUGAUAAUGUAAGAUAAACUGCCUAUAUAAUGAGAUGAAGCAAGGUGAACGACACAGGCAUUGGGAUGUAGCGCUAGGCUACCACUGAUCUGACAUUGCGUCAGAAUGAGGACCCUCUGCUUCCAGACCGUUUGACUGCAGAGAGCGAAGCCACAGGUAAGGGGGAACUACUGCAGUGAGUAUUUGUCAUUGCAAUUGAAAAAGUUCAAAAAAUAAGAAUGGCACCUACUUUAUGAGGCCCAAUCUGAAUGUAUUUCAGCCAAUGGAAACAUAUUUUAAUAGAAGAAUGAAUUCCAGGAAUCCUGGUGGAAAUUCUGGGCACUUUAUUUCAGUUAACUGAUGCAUUUUGGUAAUAAGAUGACACUGGGAAAACAAAUGCAAGAUUAUGUCUUUGAAAGGGCCGCCUGGGUGGCUCAGUCGGUUAAGCGUCUGACUUCAGCUCAGGUCAUGAUCUCAUGGUUCGCGAGUUCAAGACCCACCUCAGGCUUUGUGCCAACAGCUCGGAACCUGGAGCCUGCUUCAGAUUCUGUGUGUCCCUCAUUCUCUCUGCCCCUCCCCCUCUUAUGCUCUGUCUCUCUCUCAAAAAUAAAUAAACAUUUUUUAAAAAUUUCAAAGAAGAUUAUGUCUUGGGGCGCCUGGGUGGCUCAGUUGGUUAAGCGUCCAGCUUCAGUUCAGGUCAUGAUCUCACAGUUCUUGAGUUCAAGUCCCACAGUUCUUGAGUUCAAGCCUGCUUCAGAUUCUGUGUCUCCCUCUCUCUCUGCCCCUUCCUGCUCACUCCCUCUCUCAAAAAUAAAUAAACUUAAAAAAAAUUAAAAAGAAAAGAUUAUGUCUUUGAAAAACUGACUAUAGAAGUUUGGUGAAUAGACAAUUACAUGCACUAGAGUUGAAUGUUUGAACUUCAAAAGCUAUUGGUGACUGCUUAUUUUGUUGUAAAAUCAAUGAUCUCAGUAUCCUAGUCCUACAGCUUUCACGGACUUUGUAUCCGUCUGUCUUUUCACAUCAGGCUGUUGCAGGAGCAGUGACCACCUGACCACCUGAGCGAAAGGGCUAGAGUGACUGGGAUGUCUCCAAGUAGUGAAGACAUGCAAAAAAGAGGAAACCACUGCUUCCCAGCAAGAAGAAUAAGAAGACAGUAAGAAGAUUGAUCUUACCUUCCCUUUUCAGGAGAAAGAAAAAGUGGGAGAUUCAGUUUCGAAUAUAAUCAAAUGGAACAGUGGUAGAUCGCUGGCCAGAGACCGGAUACGUGAAGAAACUUCAGAGAAGGGACAAUACUUUCUAUUACUACAACAAACAGAGGGAAUGCGAUGACAAGGAAGUCCACAAAGUGAAAAUUUAUGCUUACUAGCCUUUGUUCUC